AGUGAACGCUGGCGGUAGGCCUAACACAUGCAAGUCGAACGGCAGCACAGUAAGAGCUUGCUCUUACGGGUGGCGAGUGGCGGACGGGUGAGGAAUACAUCGGAAUCUACUUUUUCGUGGGGGAUAACGUAGGGAAACUUACGCUAAUACCGCAUACGACCUACGGGUGAAAGCAGGGGAUCUUCGGACCUUGCGCGAUUGAAUGAGCCGAUGUCGGAUUAGCUAGUUGGCGGGGUAAAGGCCCACCAAGGCGACGAUCCGUAGCUGGUCUGAGAGGAUGAUCAGCCACACGGGAACUGAGACACGGUCCAGACUCCUACGGGAGGCAGCAGUGGGGAAUAUUGGACAAUGGGCGCAAGCCUGAUCCAGCCAUACCGCGUGGGUGAAGAAGGCCUUCGGGUUGUAAAGCCCUUUUGUUGGGAAAGAAAAGCAGCAGGUUAAUACCCCGCUGUUCUGACGGUACCCAAAGAAGAAGCACCGGCUAACUUCGUG
rnacentral:rRNA from 1 species